AUCCAGAUGACGAAUGCCAGGUAGGACGAAACGCUCGUCCUGGAU
rnacentral:hammerhead_ribozyme from 1 species